rnacentral:rRNA from 1 species
UACAGAGGUGGCAAGCGUUGUUCGGAAUUACUGGGCGUAAAGCGCGCGCAGGCGGUCCUUUAAGUCUGAUGUGAAAGCCCACGGCUCAACCGUGGAGGGUCAUUGGAAACUGGGGGACUUGAGUGCAGGAGAGAAGAGUGGAACUGCGAGUGUAGAGGUGAAAUUCGUAGAUAUUCGCAAGAACACCAGUGGCGAAGGCGGCUCACUGGCCCGAUACUGACGCUGAUGCACGAAAGCGUGGGGAGCAAACAGG